ACUUGGGUAGCUCAAUAGGAUAGAGCAUCUGACUCAACAUCAGACGGUUGCAGGUUCGAGUCCUGUCCCAAGUACCA
rnacentral:tRNA from 1 species